GAUGAAGAACGUAGCGAAAUGCGAUACGUAAUGUGAAUUGCAGAAUUCAGUGAAUCAUCGAAUCUUUGAACGCAUAUUGCGCUCUCUGGUAUUCCGGAGAGCAUGCUUGUUUGAGUAUCAGUAAACACCUCAACUCCCUUUUCUUUUUUGAAAUUGGAGCUGGACUUGAGUGAUCCCAACGCUUUCUUCCAAGAAAGUGGCGGGUUGCUUGAAAUGCAGGUGCUGCUGAACUUUUCUCUGAGCUAUAAGCAUAUCUAUUUAGUCUGCCUAAAAAACAGAUUAUUACCUUUGCUGCAGCUAACAUAAAGGAGACUAGUUCUUGUGCUGACUGAUGCAGGAUUCACAGAGACAGCUUCGGCUGACUUUGUAAACUCGAUCUCAAAUCAAGUAAGACUACCCGCUGAACUUAAGCAUAUCAAUAAGCGGAGGA
rnacentral:misc_RNA from 1 species